rnacentral:misc_RNA from 1 species
AUUAAACAGUCUAACCUAGGAGACAAUUUGCAGAGAAGGAUUGCUAACAGCUUCAAUCCGUAGAAUACGAUUAAUCACACAGCUGCGAUAUGAACUGAACCCAGAUAGCUGUAGAGCAAGUUGAACAGUUCCUCCCCAUUAAUGAUUAAUGAUUAAUGAACUGCUACAUGGGAUCAGUCAUACCAUUGUGAACCAAGAAAUCUAAUAGAUCUUUCCUGUUUGACCUGGAAACACACAGGGCCAUUAA